GACGAACGCUGGCGGCGUGCUUAACACAUGCAAGUCGAACGGAGAUUAUUAAUGAAGCUUGCGAUUUAAUAAUCUUAGUGGCGGACGGGUGAGUAACGCGUGGGCAACCUGCCUUCAACCGGAGGAUAACCCGUUGAAAGACGGACUAAUACUCCAUAACACAGGGGUCCCGCAUGGGGAUAUUUGUUAAAGNUUAAUCGGUUGAAGAUGGGCAUGCGUUCCAUUAGCUUGUGGCGGGUAACGCCACAAGGCAACGNUGGAUAGGGGAACUGAGAGGUUUANCCCCCANACUGGAACUGAGACACGGUCCAGACU
rnacentral:rRNA from 1 species